CAUCUGUCCUGGCUGCUUUGCCUCUGGCCUUUUGUCACAGCUUCAUAUGCCCCGACACAUCUGUAGGCAAAUCAGUUCAGAGCACAGGGGUUGUCCAGAAUCUCCCUCCCAUCUAUCCUGUGCCUGGUUAGCUGCCUGUAGUCAGCCCUUGUGUUGUGCCAAGUCAAGCCACAGGGACUUCUGGACUGACACACUGCUGUCACCAGCCCUAGAGAAUCCAUUGGUGCUGCCUGUGGUCCCAGAUGCUUACAUAUUAUUUAUGUCCCUGCUCUGCCAGCCAGUUUGAGUCUCUUGCGCAGAAGUUAGAUAAAGCCACACAGGCUGUGUCCAUCUCAGCAGUGGUGUGUGGUCAGUGGGCUGCCUUUGCCAUCACAGACCUGCCAUCAGCAUGGAAACAGCAGCUUGUGGAAGGGGGCAGCUCCUCUGUUACCAGUGCCAGAUGGUGUCAGUGGGGCUGGCUCUGUGGCCAUUCCAGGCUUGGCCUUUUAAAAGUCAGUGUCAGUGUUCUGCUGAGAGCCCUGUCCUAUCACUGUGUAUUACCAUGUGCUGCCAGGCUUCAGCUUCUGAAUCUGUAUCCUGGCAGGACACUUUCUGCUCCUUUUUGGUUUACUUGUCCAUCCCCCAGUGACCAGGUGUUGGGUAAUAACUGGCAUCUCCCAGAUCUUGCUGUGUCUGUGUACCACUCACAAAUGAAGUUUCUUCAAAUGGAAGUUAAUUUACUUGGAGCUCUACCCAAGUCUGCUUGGAGCUGCUGGGAGCCUUUGUUUAGGCUCUUUCUCUUUUUAACCUGUGCAUCAAAACACUUUCCAAGCAGCCUUCAUGCUGUCCUCACCAAGGAAAGAAACCUCUCAAAGGUGCUGUACCAAUAUGGAUUUUCCCUGCCCAAGUUAGAGGUGUAACAGGCCAGCAGGAAUCCACCAGGCACCAGGAGCUGCUGUCUUUCAAAAAGACAAACUGCUGUCAGUCACAGUGGCUCCCCCCAUGCAGUCCAGCUCCUGCUGUGCCCUGAGCUCAAUGGAUGCUCCGAUGCCUCUCUGGGGGCUGCAACUCCCAGGUCCAGCACUGGCCAGCCCAUCUGUGUGCCAGUCAUGGGCUGCCAGUGCCAGCUUUGCUUCCUGACACUUUAUACAGCCCAAAAUCUGCAGAGCAAAGAGAAGACAGUUCCCUCUUUCCAUAGAGUGUAUUUAAUUUGCACUGCUCCUUUCUCACCACAGCCAGUGUCAUCAGUGCCCUUUUAUUUCAGGGAUGGCCAAGGAGCUGUGCAGUCCCCAUCUCACCACUUGGAGCAAGGGGAGGUUUGGGCUUUCCCACUCUGCCCACCCACAAGCACCUUCCUGGAAGCUCUCCUCAGAUUCAGGUCCUCCACCUCUCCCUCAUGAGACCAAGGAUUUGACACUGUUUUUAACCAGUCAGUCCUUUUGUGUGGAUUAGCCAGCUUGGGUAAUGUUUGCACUUUACCCUUUGCUGUCUGCUGGUUGUGGAUUUAUUUUUGGAGCUAAUAUCACUGCUUUUCUUUAAAUUUUCUCCCCAAAGGUUGUCCUGAACCACCUGCACUCUCUGUAUAAAAUAAAUAAAUGGCCUUGGCUGUUUGCAGGUAGAUGUUUUAUCCACCUUCCACCAAAACUUUGAUAAUGCCAUGAAGGAUCCCUCUGCACUAAUGGUGCCAACACAGUCCUUUACAUCCCUACUGGAGGAUUUCUUUGUUCCUUCCCUGCACCAUCUUUUUGUAUGUGCUGCUUGUAACCAAAGGGCUUGUGCUCCAUUUCUCACAGCCCACAGCACUCCUUGCUUCUGUAAUGCAGGCUCUGAGUUCCCUCUUCCAUUUGAGCUGAAAACUAUUAAAGGCCAUUGAGAGCUUCAGAACCAGCUGGGAUUUUUCUAGCAAAGUUUUUUUUUUUUAAUUAUUUUUUUUUCCUACUGUGUUCACAUCCAUCACUUGCAGCUUGGGAGUGAAACAGUGCUCCAGUCUUGUCCUGUCAACUCUCUGAGGAGAAGGCUGAGCUUUUAGCUUUUCCAUUAAACCCUUAUCUGUGAUGCUUUUGGUCCUAAUGUUCAUUGUUCAGCAUCCCUUGAAGCCUGGGAUUUUGGUUCCUUUCUUUGGGUUUUUACUUCAGUUUGCUCAGCAUUUUUUAGCUGGUGUCACUGUAUCAUACCUCCUGGGGUCCACUGACCUGUUGGGUUGAAAAUGAGCAGAGAAGUCAUCCCAGUGGUUUUAAAAGAUGCUCAACUCUGAAAGGUUUGGGCUUCUUUAAAGCUUAGGGAAGAGCAGGCACUUUUUCAUGCAAAGGUGUAUUUUUCAUGCUUAACUGCAUCCUGCUCUGUCUGGGAGGGGAUGCUCCCAGGUCAAAGCAGCUCCACCAUCCACAGCACUUUGUGCCUGCUUGCCUCUGGCUCUGUGUUUCCUAGCUUGGAUUUCUCUGCUCUUGGCCUCUCCUUGGUGGGUCUCUCACAGCUGUGAUACUCACUCAGAGGUAAAUAUUGCCUCCAGCAAUUUAUUUUACCAGUCUCAUGUCGUUGCUUGUGGUGACACCAAUCAUGGAAUUUAUUUUGCCUUUUCAGUCUCCACUGUUUUUACAGGUUGCUGCUGUGAUUUCUCUUGAUUCAGACUGUCAAGCUCUUGCCAUUUUUGUCUUCCUCCUCAUGGCUUCCCAUUAUCAAUGCUGUACUUGGAGUCCAAGUGCCCUUCAUGCCCCAAAUCUGCAAGAUAAGUAAACUUAGAAAAUCAUUAGGGCGGACUUUGACCGCUCCUGUCUCCAUCAAAGACUAGGAUUAAAUUAAGUCCCUUUGAUAAACUGAGCUGAUGGGCCCAUUUGGAGUGCACAUGUGGUAUUAUGGGCCUCGUGGGACUUAUGAUUAAAAGACACGAGAGAACACAAUUAUUUAGAGAGCUACCAGGAGAUUGCUGUAGCUCACUAGUCACUUCUUUAUCAGAACAAAAGAAGAGUCCAAUUCUCCAGGGUGACAGGCAGCUCCUGGGAAGUGUCCAUAGGUCUCUAAUUGCUGCGGGAGGCGCAGCUCCCGCUUUGAUGUGUGCUGGAACACUGCGGGAGGGUGCCGGAGAAAGCCACUCCAGCCACUUCUGUCCCCAAGGCACUUGGUCCAGGACUGAAACCUUCCACACAGCUGGCUUCUUUUAUCUCUUUUUACGGUUCCUUGGGUUGUUGGUUGGUUUUUUUUGUUUUUUUCUUUCUUUUUUUUUUUUUUUCCCCACCAUAAACUGCAGUUGCUUUUGCAGCAAGAUAGAGCUCAGCUGGGUUUCUUUGCUGGACUGUGAUCACAUCCUGACCAGCACAGGGAGCUUGGUGCAACCAGAGCUGACUCCCUGCACCAAAUCUUCAAGGCAGGGCUGGGUCUUGACCCAACAGGAAAAGUCAUUUUAGCUUAGGCUCUGCAGCAAGCCCUGGAGAUGAGGAAUGUCUGACUGGACACAAAUACAAUUUUGCGUGUUGUUUUUUUUUUUUUUUCCCUCGGGGUCAGGCUAUUGAGUCAGGGCUGGAUAGCAUAUAUAAUUGUAGCAAGGCUAUUUUUCUCUUUUAUUUUUUUUUUAAAAGGAACAUUCAUGCUGCAUUUUAAUUACAACGUUUAGAACAUGUCCAAAUAACUUGAGCUCAAAUUGAUCUUGUUUUUCAGGAAGCUUGUUUUUCAUCUAUUAUUAUAAUAAAUGUGCUAUUGAUAGUAGUUUAGGUGCAAUACAGCAAAGCUUUGUGUUAUACAUCAGCUCUGAAGGCUCAAAAUUUUCUUAUUAUCCAUUAUUGACAUGACAGUUUACAAAUAUUUAACAAACAAAUUACCAGGUUUUCCUUGUUCCCUCUUAGUUUGCAGUCUCAGUCCUCUUGACAGCUGAAUUCAGGAUUAAUGAUGAUCUUGUUUAAGAUGAUUGUUUGCUAGCAAAUAGGUUUAUUCUCUAAACCUACAAGUACAGUAGAAGAACUAACACUGACACUUUGAAUUAAAUCUCAUCCUAAAAGCAAAUUUUUUAGCUUUAUUCCAUCCAGUUCUCUGAAGAAGAAAUUGGAUUUGCCUGGUAAAAUGCUUAGACCUGUUAAUAAUUUUUUAGUUUAUGUAGUCAUUUUAAAUAUAGAUACUUAACAUGAAGGGCUGGCAAAAGGAGUAUUUUUUCUCUGCCAGCCCUGAGCUUGCUGGGUCUAGUCAGGCUGUAAAUGUUUUAGAAUGCUUUCUGAACACAAGCAGAGGAGCAAAGAGACCACCCUGACCCUCCAUGGAAAAGAGAGAUCCAGAAGGACAAGUUGGAUUUGCUUCUCUGUACAGCACUGGAGGCAGCACAUGGAAACUUUGAGCCCAGGUCCUGGGAGUGAUAAAGCACAUCCCUGCUUUGCAGCAGCUGCUUCUCCACCUGCUCCAGGUCUGAGCAUGGGGUGAAGGGCACAGAAAGGGGGGGAUGGCCAACAUCUGCCUGGGAAGGUUGCUGCUGCUGUGGAUGGCUGCAGGUGAAGCAAGGAAGGUACUACACCCCCUGGGAAAGCAUCCCUAGAGGAAUCAGGGGCAUCUUCUGGGAGGAAGCACAGCGGAGGAAUAGAGACUGAAAGAGUGUGUGAAGCACCCCCUUCAGAGCACGUCCUGGGCACUGGGCCAUCCCUGCCCUGUGCUUUCUGAUCUUGGGCUUUGCAUGCACAAUACAGGAAUUCACUGGUGUGUGGGCCUGGCUUUGGAGAUGAGAAGUGAAUUUGUUCUCAAGAAAAAUCACUCAUUGUUGGCAGAAAAUCUGUGAGUUGGGUUCCCCAAGGGCAUAGUGUUUGAAAAUCACAGAUGAUUAAAAGAUAACACAUUUGAGGGAUUGUUUGGUUUUGUUUGGUGUUUUGCUUGGGUUUUUUGCUUCAUUUUUGUUGUUGUUUGUUUGUUUGUUGUUUUGUUGUUGUUUUUGUUCUUGUGGAAGGCGUAUGGGUUUUUUGCCUUUUGGGUAUGGCAAACUAAAUGCCACACAUAAAUUUCUCCACAACUGACCUGGCCACAAUUUUUUUUUGUUUUAACACAGGAAAAUCUGAGACUCUCAUUAAAAGAGGAGGUCUCCCACCUGAGUUCUGAAAUACCAAAUGCCACACUAGCAAAAAUGACUUGGCAGGUUUGAGUGUAGUUUAUCACAUCAAUCUUAAACAAAGAUAAACCAAAUCAAAUCAGACUUGAUGAAAUUGAAUAAAAACAUGCUUGGCUAGAAA
ensembl:lncRNA